rnacentral:rRNA from 1 species
GCGAACUGCUCAGUAACACGUAGCUAACCUACCCUUAAGUCAAGGAUACCCUCGGGAAACUGAGGUUAAUACUUGAUAGGAGAUAUACCCUGGAAAGAUUUAUCUCUCAAACUCGAGCUUAAGGAUGGGGCUGCGCCGGAUUAGGUUGUUGGCGGGGUAAUAGCCCACCAAGCCGAAGAUCCGUAAGGGCUCUUAGCGGAGGGGCCCUGAGAGGGAAUCUGAGACACUAUUCCCAGCCCUACGGGGUGCAGCAGUUAGGAAUAAUCUACAAUGCGCGAAAGCGUGAUAGUUUGAGCCAGAGUGUCUAUCUUUCGAUAGACUUUUGCCAAGUGUAAAAAGCUUGGAGAAUAAGGACUGGGUAAGACUAGUGCCAGCCGCCGCGGUAAUACUAGCGGUCCAAGUCGCAGCCAUUUUUAUUGGGUCUAAAACAUCCGUAGCUUGCUUAGCAAGUCCUUUGUGAAAUCCUAUAUCUUAAGUAUAGGGCGGGCAAGGGAUACUACUGAGCUAGAGACUGGAAGACGUAGAAAGUAUGUCUGGAGUAGCGGUCAAAUGUGUUGAUCCUAGACAGACUCACAAUAGCGAAGGCAUUCUACGAGGACAGUUCUGACAGUAAGGGAUGAAGGCUAGGGGCGCAAAGGGGAUUAGAUACCCCCGUAGUCCUAGCAGUAGACACUGUACACUAAACAUCAGUACCUCCUCGAGAGGUAUUGGUGCUGUAGGGGAAGCCGAAGAGUGUACUACCUGGGAAGUAUAGUCGCAAGGCCGAAACUUAAAGGAAUUGGCGGCGAGACACUACAACGGGUGACGCGUGCGGUUCAAUUAGAUUCUACACCGUGAACCUCACCAGGAGCGACAGCAGGAUGAAGGUCAGUCUAAAGGGCUUACCUGACACGCUGAGAGGAGUUGCAUGGCCGACGUCAGCCUGUGUUGUGAGAUGACCUGUUAAAUCAGGUAACAGGCAAGACCCCCAUGCCUAUUUACAAUCGGA